CCGGGAAUAUACUUUUUUGCCAGAAUAAAAAAUCAGUCUAUAAUGGGAAUUGUCAUUUAUUAAACACCGAAAACAGGCUGGACUAUUUUAUAUUACAAUUGUUGUCACUGACAUCGCUCUGACUGCAAAUAUGGGUGCUAUUGUUGAGAUCUAUUGUUCAAGGGAUUGUGUCCCACCACAAUUUCACACACAGUGCAAUGGAAGCUCAAUCUGUUUACGUACAGUUGAAGGAUCUUGUACAUGGAAAUAAUCGAGUGGAAAUGUAUUUUGUUUAUUGUUAGUUAAAAUGUUAUUUGUUUGCAAAUUUGCUUCAGAAAAUG